GUCGAGCGGUAGCACAGGGGAGCUUGCUCCCUGGGUGACGAGCGGCGGACGGGUGAGUAAUGUCUGGGAAACUGCCUGAUGGAGGGGGAUAACUACUGGAAACGGUAGCUAAUACCGCAUAACGUCGCAAGACCAAAGAGGGGGACCUUCGGGCCUCUUGCCAUCAGAUGUGCCCAGAUGGGAUUAGCUAGUAGGUGGGGUAAUGGCUCACCUAGGCGACGAUCCCUAGCUGGUCUGAGAGGAUGACCAGCCACACUGGAACUGAGACACGGUCCAGACUCCUACGGGAGGCAGCAGUGGGGAAUAUUGCACAAUGGGCGCAAGCCUGAUGCAGCCAUGCCGCGUGUGUGAAGAAGGCCUUCGGGUUGUAAAGCACUUUCAGCGAGGAGGAAGGUGGUGAGCUUAAUACGCUCAUCAAUUGACGUUACUCGCAGAAGAAGCACCGGCUAACUCCGUGCCAGCAGCCGCGGUAAUACGGAGGGUGCAAGCGUUAAUCGGAAUUACUGGGCGUAAAGCGCACGCAGGCGGUUUGUUAAGUCAGAUGUGAAAUCCCCGGGCUCAACCUGGGAACUGCAUUUGAAACUGGCAAGCUAGAGUCUCGUAGAGGGGGGUAGAAUUCCAGGUGUAGCGGUGAAAUGCGUAGAGAUCUGGAGGAAUACCGGUGGCGAAGGCGGCCCCCUGGACGAAGACUGACGCUCAGGUGCGAAAGCGUGGGGAGCAAACAGGGGAUUAGAUACCCUGGUAGUCCACGCUGUAAACGAUGUCGAUUUGGAGGUUGUGCCCUUGAGGCGUGGCUUCCGGAGCUAACGCGUUAAAUCGACCGCCUGGGGAGUACGGCCGCAAGGUUAAAACUCAAAUGAAUUGACGGGGGCCCGCACAAGCGGUGGAGCAUGUGGUUUAAUUCGAUGCAACGCGAAGAACCUUACCUACUCUUGACAUCCAGAGAACUUAGCAGAGAUGCUUUGGUGCCUUCGGGAACUCUGAGACAGGUGCUGCAUGGCUGUCGUCAGCUCGUGUUGUGAAAUGUUGGGUUAAGUCCCGCAACGAGCGCAACCCUUAUCCUUUGUUGCCAGCGGUUCGGCCGGGAACUCAAAGGAGACUGCCAGUGAUAAACUGGAGGAAGGUGGGGAUGACGUCAAGUCAUCAUGGCCCUUACGAGUAGGGCUACACACGUGCUACAAUGGCGUAUACAAAGAGAAGCGACCUCGCGAGAGCAAGCGGACCUCAUAAAGUACGUCGUAGUCCGGAUUGGAGUCUGCAACUCGACUCCAUGAAGUCGGAAUCGCUAGUAAUCGUAGAUCAGAAUGCUACGGUGAAUACGUUCCCGGGCCUUGUACACACCGCCCGUCACACCAUGGGAGUGGGUUGCAAAAGAAGUAGGUAGCUUAACCUUCGGGAGGGCGCU
rnacentral:rRNA from 1 species